GAUGAACGCUGGCGGCGUGCUUAACACAUGCAAGUCGAACGAUGAAGCCCAGCUUGCUGGGUGGAUUAGUGGCGAACGGGCGAGUAACACGUGAGUAACCUGCCCUUGACUCUGGGAUAAGCCCGGGAAACUGGGUCUAAUACCGGAUAGGAGCGCCUGUCGCAUGACGGGUGCUGGAAAGAUUUUUCGGUCAUGGAUGGACUCGCGGCCUAUCAGCUUGUUGGUGAGGUAAUGGCUCACCAAGGCGACGACGGGUAGCCGGCCUGAGAGGGUGACCGGCCACACUGGGACUGAGACACGGCCCAGACUCCUACGGGAGGCAGCAGUGGGGAAUAUUGCACAAUGGGCGGAAGCCUGAUGCAGCGACGCCGCGUGAGGGAUGACGGCCUUCGGGUUGUAAACCUCUUUCAGCAGGGAAGAAGCGAAAGUGACGUACCUACAGA
rnacentral:rRNA from 1 species